rnacentral:rRNA from 1 species
GAUGAACGCUGGCGGCGUGCCUAAUACAUGCAAGUCGAACGAGGACCCUUUGUAUUCGUACGGAGGAAUCCUAGUGGCGAACGGGUGAGUAACGCGUUGGUGACCUGCCCCGAAGAGGGGGAUAACAGCUCGAAAGGGCUGCUAAUACCCCAUGUGGUCACGAAGAUUAGAAGCUUUGUGACUAAAGGAGUGAUCCGCUUUGGGAGGGACCUGCGUCCCAUCAGCUAGUUGGUAGGGUAAAGGCCUACCAAGGCAAUGACGGGUAGGGGGCCUGAGAGGGUGGCCCCCCACACUGGCACUGAAACACGGGCCAGACACCUACGGGUGGCAGCAGUAGGGAAUAUUGCACAAUGGGCGAAAGCCUGAUGCAGCAACGCCGCGUGCACGAUGAAGGCUCUCGGGUUGUAAAGUGCUUUUCUGGAGGAAGAGAAAGGACGGUACUCCAGGAAUAAGGAUCGGCUAACUACGUG